AUCCUGGAAGACAGAAGGAGCGCAGUGAUGGGGGCAGGGCAGGGCUCUUGCCAGGGGAAAGGUGGAAUGAGCUCCAGACCGUGGCCCCAGCUUAAGCCCUGCCGCCUCCUAGCUGGGUGACCUUGGGCAAGGCAUUUUUCCUCUCUGAGGCUCAGCUUCACCUCAGAAGGGGGGCUCGAGCCCUUAGAACAACUGCCAUUUACUGAGGACUUGCCGAGCCUUUAUGUUGAUCUGGAUUCCUCACAAACGUUGGGUAGGUGAUGUAAGCGAGGCUCAGGAUGGCCGUGUGGCCUGUCCAAGGUCCCCAGCCAGCAGAUGGGGCAGGGGGGUGGGGGGAAGCGGGGAGCAGGGCUGCGAGCCCAGUCCUUUCCCGCAGCUCCCAGGAGCAGGGAGGGGAGGUGGUCUAGGGGUGGUCACGAGGGAUGACCUCAGGCAGCAGAGACAUUUUUAAUUCAAUAAUCCUGAAAGUAUUUCAUGUAUAUCCCCCCCCCGCCCCCCAAAAGUGUCACCAGCUCAUCAGCUCUGUGAUUUUAGAUGUUACUGCCCAGGGCAAGACCAUGUAAAGCCUCUCAUUGGGCACAGGUCGAAUGGAAAGCAUUAAGAUGAUUUUAUACGUACUUGUCAGUUACAGCAAAAGUCAGGAUGGUAGUCCUGGGCUUGGGGCCAUUUGGGUGGUGCUGAAAACCACAAUACCCACUCCCCAGCCACAGGUAUUUGAAGUCUGGGGUGUGGCCGGUAGUUGUCAACGAUCAUUACCCUUGUGUGUUUCUUUGUCACGUUCCCAUGGUCACACUUGUGUCUGCUGUUCCCCUCCUUUCCAAGCCACCCCCCCACCCCCCACCCCCGCUCUGGAUGCCCUUCCUGUUUCACAGUGACUUUUCCUUCCUGGCUCCUCAUCCCGUGGGCUUGCAGGAAACUCCGCUGUCCCUGCAGUGAGGCAGGUGCUUAAAAGUAGGAUGUCCUAUCUCACUGCACAGCCUGGGCCGGCAGCUCGCCCCCCUGGGCCUCUGGGGCUGCCCAUGGCAGAGUCACCCUGAGGGUGGGCUCAGCCCAGUCCUCCCUGCCUUCACCUGUUUCUCAUCGGAGUACACGAUUUCUGACUUCUGCAUGCCCAUGCACAUGAUGGCUUCGUGGAACUCUCUCAUUUGCUCCUGGGUCGCUUGUGGCUUGUCAGCUGCAGGAGGGAGCGAGGGGACGUUGGCUUUCCAGCCUGCCAGACUUUACACUAGAAGGACACCAUCAGCUCUCCUGGGUCUUGAAUUGGCCAACUCACUCUGCAGAUCCUGGGACUUGCCAACGAUCAUAAUCAUGUAAGAAAUGCUCGUAUUGAAGCACUGUCAGCAAGGGCCGAAAGACGGAAACGACCCAGAUGUCCAUCAGAGGAUGAGCAGAGAACAAAAAUGUGGUAUAUCCAUACAGUAGAAUAUGAGUGAGUCAUAAAAAAGAAUGAAGUACUGUAUGGAAACAUAUACCACAAGGGGGAACCUUGAAAUCAUGAUACAUGAAAGAAGUCAAUCACAGAAGACGUAAUUAACUGAAGAUGAGCUCAUUCAUGUGGACCCUCAUCCACUAUGACUGGUGUCCUUAUAAAAAGAUGUGCGGAGACACAUGGGAGAAAGAAUGCCACAUGACUAAAGAGGCAGAGACCACGGUGUUCCAGCUGGAAGCGGAGGAAUGCCUGGGGCCACCGGAAGCUGAUCAGGGUAAGGAACCUCUCCUAGAAGCGUGGGGGAUGAGGGGCACUGGCACCAUUUGGAUUUCAGAUUUCCAGGCUGCAGAGCUGGGGGAGAAUGCAUUUCUGCUGUCCUAAGCCUCCAGGUUUGCGAUGCUGUUACAGCAACCCUAGGGAAGGAAUACGCCAUGGGACCCCGACCACCCCCCCCUUUCAGUACUCACCCCCGUGCUGACUCCACGCCGUCUCUCUCUCUCUCUGCCUCCCUCCUUUGGGGGAAGCAGCAUAAACAGGGCAUCCCCUGAGCAU